rnacentral:rRNA from 1 species
AAUACAUAGCAUGCAAGAAGGCAGACCCGGAGAACUGAAACAUCUUAGUACCCGGAGGAAGAGAAAGAAAAAUCGAUUCCCUGAGUAGCGGCGAGCGAAACGGGAAGAGCCCAAACCAAUAAGCUUGCUUAUUGGGGUUGUAGGACACUCUGUACGGAGUUACAAAAGAAUUUGUUAGACGAAUAACCUGGAAAGGUUAAUCAGAGAAG